GGAAUUUUGCGCAAUGGGCGGAAGCCUGACGCAGCAACGCCGCGUGGAGGAAGAAGGCCCUCGGGUCGUAAACUCCUGUCCAUGGGGAAGAUGGUGACGGUACCCUUGGAGGAAGCCCCGGCUAACUCCGUGCCAGCAGCCGCGGUAAUACGGGGGGGGCGAGCGUUGUUCGGAUUUACUGGGCGUAGAGGGCGCGCAGGCGGCGCCGGAAGUCCUGGGUGAAAGCUCCCGGCUCAACUGGGAGAGGGCCUGGGAAACCACGGUGCUGGAGUGCUGGAGAGGGAAGCGGAAUUCCCGGUGUAGCGGUGAAAUGCGCAGAUAUCGGGAGGAACACCAGUAGCGAAGGCGGUUCUCUGGGCCGGCACUGACGCUGAGGAGCGAAAGCGUGGGGAGCAAA
rnacentral:rRNA from 1 species